UCCCUGGCGGUCCAGUGGUUAGGAGUCGGCACUGUCACUGCCGUGCCCUGGGUUCAAUCCCUGGUCAGGGAA
rnacentral:tRNA from 1 species